rnacentral:rRNA from 1 species
AACGAACGCUGGCGGCAUGCCUAACACAUGCAAGUCGAACGAUGCCUUCGGGCAUAGUGGCGCACGGGUGCGUAACGCGUGGGAAUCUGCCUUUCGGUUCGGAAUAACUCAGGGAAACUUGAGCUGAUACCGGAUAACGUCGCAAGACCAAAGAUUUAUCACCGAAAGAUGAGCCCGCGUAGGAUUAGCUAGUUGGUGAGGUAAAGGCUCACCAAGGCGACGAUCCUUAGCUGGUCUGAGAGGAUGAUCAGCCACACUGGGACUGAGACACGGCCCAGACUCCUACGGGAGGCAGCAGUGGGGAAUAUUGGACAAUGGGCGAAAGCCUGAUCCAGCAAUGCCGCGUGAGUGAUGAAGGCCUUAGGGUUGUAAAGCUCUUUUACCCGGGAAGAUAAUGACGGUACCGGGAGAAUAAGCCCCGGCUAACUCCGUG